rnacentral:lncRNA from 1 species
UCCCCUACUUUUGGUGAAGUUAGGUGUGGUAGUGAAGCUAAAUGUGCUUUGAGUUGUUGAAAUGCCUCAUCGCACUCUGGAGUCCAUGUUAGUGCCCCCUUUUGACUAGUUUUUAGUAACUGAAAAAAGGGUUUGCACUUGUCUGCUGUUUUGGAAAUGAACCGACUUAAGGCGUUGAUUUUUCCAUUCAGCUUUUGCACCUCCUUUAUUGUUCGAGG